UACGUAGGGUGCGAGCGUUGUCCGGAAUUACUGGGCGUAAAGAGCUCGUAGGUGGUUUGUCGCGUUGUUCGUGAAAACUCACAGCUUAACUGUGGGCGUGCGGGCGAUACGGGCAGACUGGAGUACUGCAGGGGAGACUGGAAUUCCUGGUGUAGCGGUGGAAUGCGCAGAUAUCAGGAGGAACACCGGUGGCGAAGGCGGGUCUCUGGGCCAUUACUGACGCUGAGGAGCGAAAGCGUGGGGAGCGAACAGG
rnacentral:rRNA from 1 species